GUGCUCGCUUUGGCAGCACACAUACUAAAAUUGGAACGAUACAGAGAAGAUUAAUUAGCAUGGUCCCUGCGCAAGGAGGACAUGCAAAUUCGUGAAGCAUUCCAUAUUUUU